GACGAACGCUGGCGGCGUGCCUAAUACAUGCAAGUCGAACGCAGUGGGGACGGGUGAGUAACACGUGGGUAACCUCCCAUCAGAGGGGAUAACACUUGGAUACAGGUGCUAAACCGAUACUGAUGGAUGGCCCCGCGGUGCAUUAGGUAGUUGGUGAGGCAACGGCCAACCAAGGCCACGAUGCAUAGCCGACCUGAGGGGGUGGUCGGCCACAGUGGGACAAAGACACGGCCCAAACUCCUACGGGAGGCAGAAGUAGGGAAUCUUCGGCAAUGGGCGAAAGUCUGACCGAGCAACGCCGCGUGAGUGAAGAAGGUUUUCGGAUCGUAAAACUCUGUUGUUAAAGAAGCGGUAGCUAACCAGAAAGCAACGGCUAACUACGUGCCAGCAGCCGCGGUAAUAC
rnacentral:rRNA from 1 species